UGGGCGACAGUGAGACCCCCCUCCAGAUCAAAAAACAGGAGAAAAAGCCCAGUCUUGCCACUGACUUGCUAGGUAGGUGACACCAGGUGGGGCCCUUCUCAUUGGGCAUGCUAGAAGAGUCUCAAUCCCGGGAUGGGACAGGCAGGCAGGUGACAGCCUGAUUUUGGCUGCUGCUGCCUCUGUGGAGGGAUCUCUGGUUUUGGGCCCUCUCACCUGUCUUGAGCUGAGGUGCCUCUCUCUCAUCACUCUGGGCUCCCCUGGCCUCACGGUGGCCUGGCCUCAGGUGCCCUCCCCAAGUCCAUGUUGGGAUUGGCUAGGCCAGGCGUCUUGCAUACCAUGCUUCACAGACAGGCUGUGACCUGCCUCUCUGCUGCCUCAAAGCAGCAAUGUGCUUAUAAAUGGUUAACAACCAGCUUUCCAGGAAAGGAAAUGUACACGUAUGUAUGUAGGCAUGGAUCUCUCUCCCUUCCUUCCCUGUCUCUUUCUCUAUAUACACACAGGCACAUGCAUACAUAUACAUGAACACACAAUUUACAAAUAAUAAAAUCCACAAUAUAUAAAAAAUGCAACAAAAUAUACAAUAUACUCUUCACUGUAAAUUCCACAUGGCCAAUCGAUACUCACAAAAUACCUCCAUUGACUUUUACUGAGUUCUUGUAUCUGUAUCCAGUACUUGAUUGCAACGGAUGGACAGGGGUGGUUCCCACAUAUAUGUUGGCUGAUGUUUUCAUUUAUUUUAAUAAGAUAAACUUGAAGCAGCUAAGAUGAGCACCUUCUUUGCUUAAUUGGAUGAUAGUUUUCAAAUACCAGAAAUGUUUUUUUCUUUUUUUUUUCUAUUUAUAAUGUAAUGACCACAGACCCAGCGUUCUUCAGUUUAAUCUGCAAUGUUAGCAUUUUUCUCAUCGCUUUCUAAAGUCUAGGCAAUCAACAAAGCAGUAAUACAUCAAGCCCUGGCAUGCCGUGGCAUGCCGAGCUCUGUGGUGUAAUACUUCCACUUGGCCAGUCUUGAGCUACCAACAUGAAGUCACUGAAGGUGACCUUGGGAAGAGAUUCCAGGAUUUCCACCACACACAUCUGACAGAUGUCAACACACAGCAACAGUAAAGCAUGCUCGAAUCAUGAAGAUAUUUCAGAAAGUCAAGAGUGUACAGAUAUUGAUCCUCAGGAGCUUCAUUUACCUGGCCCAUCACCGAAGAGGCAGAAAUGGAAGACCAGGCUGAGGGAGGCUGGGGAGAGGAGUAUCCGGAGGCUGAAGAGGAAGACAAUGAAGAAGAUGCCGAGGAAGAAUGAGAAACUGAGGUGACGGCAGCUGGCACUGGAUUUGUAGAAGCAGCGGCAACCCCUUAAGUGGCGUGAGAUGUGACAGUCGCCACAGUCCCAGCGGAAGCCCCAGCCUCCUGGGUUGUCAGUUACCCAGGUACCUCCACAGGCCCAGCUCAUUCCAGGUAGCUGGAUGCCGAUCCUCACUCCAGGCCCGGGAUCCAUGGCCUCCGCUCAGCCCCUCCCACCUCUGGACCCUGGGCGCUCCAUCCCUGCGUGUACUGGGAAGACUGGAGGUCCUGCCAGCCUGGAGAGCCCUCUCCACAAUGGGGGAAAGAAGGCAAAGGUGAGCUCAGCUGCAAUGGGCACCACAGGCCGAGAAGGAAACCUCAUCCUUUGCACAGUGCAUGUCAGCUACCCUUUGAUCUAGUCAGGCAGAUGCCAUCUCAAGAUGCCCUGCUGCAUGUUCUCAUCCAUCGUGAGUGCACCUGUCAACAGUGUGGCCAUUCUGUGCUAGUGAGUUGCCUGUAUCCAAAGGAAAAUGAAAACUUUCUCUUGGCAGUUAGGGCUUGGAGCCGGGACCUAGGCUAAGCUCCCAGGAAGGCAGGGAGCUAGGGGUGCUAGCUUUAUGUUUGCAUUUCAAAGAGAUGUGUCCGGGGGCCCUGCAGACACACCUCCCUGGGCCCUAAGCCUAGCGGGAGCUGUAUUGAAAAGGUUUACAAAGUAUCCUUCCAACCUGGAAAUCACGCACGUGCAGCAUUCCCUCUCCUGCCGGGGAACCGGAAGCUCUGCAAAAGAACCCUUGGCCUUUCCCAGGUCCCCUGGGGUGGAGAGGAGGACUCAGCAUUUGUGGUCCCCUCCCUCAAGGUCCAGGGCUGAAAGGGACCCAAGCCGUCGGGAGGGGGCCUCAGCUAGUGGUGACAGCCUGGGUGCCAGGCCUCACCCCCAACUCUGUGACUGGCAGAAAUGACCUCACAACCUGGCCUCAGUUUCCUCAUCUGUAAAAUGGAAACAAUACAGUGAUCCUGGGAGGGUGGGUCAUGCC